UAUUGCCAUCUUCGCUUUUCAUUCUCUUGAUCAUCUACUUGAAAGUUAUUUGAAAUUUUUUUGUUAGGUGAUCAACGUUACUGGGCGGAUAUUAUAUUUAGUGGAUCCGGUCGGUAGCAACCUGGAAGAAAGCCAAGAUGCUGAAAGAAGCGUUAAUGAAUAUCUGCAGUUAAGAGAAGGUGAGGGAAUUAAGGAGUCAAUUACAUGUUUCAAAAGUGGAAAAAUUAAACAUCCAAUACAAACUGAUGGUUCCAGCUGCGGGGUAUUUGUCAUGAAGAUUGCAGAAAGCUUACUGCUUGAUAGUUUUGAUGGAGUUACUUUUCAGUCGUCAUUAGAAGAUAUUAAAAGAUACAGGUUACAAAUAGCUGAAUAGAUAUUGGAAAUGUCUAGUAUUGAAAUAUGCGAUUAGUUAGCCAGUUAUUAGUCUCAGAUGCAUGGAAUUGAUGCUGGAGGAUUGAGCCUCAACUGACUGCAGUGAUGCUCAACCUUUUUCUUUCAUGGCCCAUUUUUGU